rnacentral:rRNA from 1 species
AUUGAACGCUGGCGGCAGGCCUAACACAUGCAAGUCGAGCGCGCGGCGCGCGGGUGAGUAAUAUCUGGGAAACUGCCUGAUGGGGGGGGAUAACUCCUGGAAACGGUGUCUCAUACCGCAUACCCUCAGAUAUGCCCAGAUGGGAUUAGAUAGUGGGUGGGGUAACGGCUCACCUAGGCGACGAUCCCUAUCUGGUCUGAGAGGAUGACCAGCCACACUGGAACUGAGACACGGUCCAGACUCCUACGGGAGGCAGCAGUGGGGAAUAUUGCACAAUGGGCGCAAGCCUGAUGCAGCCAUGCCGCGUGUGUGAAGAAGGCCUUCGGGUUGUAAAGUACUUUCAGCGGGGAGGCGUUACCCGCAGAAGAAGCACCGGCUAACUCCGUGCCAGCAGCCGCGGUAAUAC